AUUAUUUAUUUUAACUGUCCCGUCAAGGACGGAUUUUAACGCGAUAUCAAUGACUGGGAUCCCGUACGCUCGUGUUAUUGAAAAAAAUCAAAUAAAAAUUCAGAUCCGAAUAGGAUUGGAACGAUAAAUACCGGUUUCAAGCACGUUUGACCAUAUAGGGAACGGCAAGGGCCAAGGACCUCUUUAAAACAUCACUGCGAUGGACUUGAAUU